AUUUUGAAAAUCAGGAAUGGGCUAAAUGCCAAUCAAAAUAAAGCAAGUCUUUGGUCCAGACCAGGUAAUACAAAAUAAG